rnacentral:tRNA from 1 species
GGAGGAUUAGCUCAGCUGGGAGAGCAUCUGCCUUACAAGCAGAGGAUCGGCGGUUCGAGCCCGUCCCACCACCU